CGGCUCCAUCUCCCGCCUCCGGCCCUGCUUUCCUGUCCCACGUGACAUGCAGCCACAGUAAGCUGCGCGCACACAGCUUUUCUUUCAUCUCUGCCCCUUUUCACGCCACCGGUGCUCACUCCAUUGGCUUUCUUCCUUUCCUUUCCGUCACCGCACUCCCUCCUUUCCCCACGUCGCCGAGACAGGGAUUCCCACUUGUGUCUUCCCGUGUGUUUGUGCCUGCAUGUGUGUUUGCGUACCUGUCUUUUCCCCCUCUUGUCUUCCACAUCGCUGCGCCGGCUUGCUUCCCUUCUUUGUGAAAUAACCUUCCCUCUUUUUCUUUUCAUUCUCUUCUUCUUCCUUUUUCCUUCUCUCUGCCCUUCCCCUCCCCUCGCCUCUUUCGCUCUGUACUUUCUUUCCCCGUCUUCUCCCCGUUACCACCGCAUCUCGUCUUUUCUUUCUUGCCCGUGCGCACGCGUGUGCGGGUGCUUUCGACGGGAACUCUCUUUGUUUUGGGGUUUGUCCCCUUCGCCCUUGCGUCUUCUUCAAGUUCUCCUCUAUGUAUGCUAAGUUUGUCUCUGCCGGAUAGUUUCUGUUCAGGACGUAUAGGGGGCAUUGCUUGUCGCUAUCACCGCCUGUCCUACUCCAAGAAAAACCGGGGAGACCUCCUUACCCACCCACCUACCCCGAAGCCUCCAUCUACACCUUCUUUGCAGCGCGCGCGCAAACAUCAAGCCCGCCACCCUCGGCGUUUUCUUUCACCCUUCCCCUUCCUCGCAAGCGCACCUUCCGCCCACUCUGUGUGGUGAUGAGUCUCCGACCCGUGCAUCGACCCGUUGCGACUGUUCUAGCGGUUGACAUGAUGCACGACAGUCGAGCACCGCACGGAAAGUCGCGCGUCUCGGGGGGCUCCAGCUGCUUCCCGUCCGAUUAUCUUAACAACGAGAGCUUUGACCUGAACUCCGAGACGGAACACGUAUCCACGAACUCCUCCACAUGUGAUCCGGCGGAGUCGUACCACCUCUUGCUCCCUCGAGAGUUGCGGACGCCGGCUCAGGACUUCACCACGCCGGAGAUCCCGGACAGCUCCUCUCACUCACCGCUCUGCAGUGCUUUCUUUUCUUCGGUGACUGAAAUGCAGCACCAGUCGGUGCUGGAGGUCGGCGUGGCAAGCGAUCAAGGCAUCCGCUCGAGCAUGGAGGACGAGCAUGUGACCGUCGUGGAGCCGGAGGUUUGCUUUUUUGGCAUCUAUGAUGGGCACGGCGGUCGCCAGUGUGCCGAGUACGUCCGCUCCCGGCUGCACAAAAUUACACUGGCUCACGAGUGCCUUAAGACGGCUCCACGCAAGGCGAUCAGCGACGCAUUUGCUCAGGUCGAGCGCGAGUUUUUAGGGCAGAACACCAACGACAUGAGCUCUGCUGGCUGCGUGUGCGCCGCGGCCGUCGUCCAGGGCUCGGUGCUGACGGUGGGCAACGUUGGUGACUGUGAGGUGGUCCUCGCGCGUGCGGGGCAACCUGUGCUGUUGACAGUCAAGCACAAUCCCAGCUGCAACGAUGCCGAGGCAACGCGGGUCAAGAAGGCUGGCGGGUGCAUUUUCAACUGCAGGGUGGGCCACCCGCGUCUCAACCCGCGCAUGUGCAGUCUUGCCGUGUCACGCGCGGUGGGAGAUGCCGGGUUCAAGCUUGAGGAAUACACGAACGGCAAACCUUCAGGCAUCAUCGCUGUCGCCGACACCUCUGAAGUGCUACUGGCAAAGGAAGAUGCGUUUUUGAUUUUGGCGUGUGACGGCUUGUGGGACACGAUGUCUUACGCCGAGGCUGUCGAGCUGGCCACCGCGUACGUGGCGAGCGGGGCCGACGCCAACAGCGUCGCCGACCAGCUUGUGGGAGAGGCGCUGCGGCGGGGCACGCGCGACAACGUCACGGCCAUCUUUGUACGCCUAGGUGGGCCAGCGCAAGCAGGACUAGGCGAUGCCGAAAAAUGAAGCCGAGCGUAGAUGAGAAUGCCCGUGUACUCUCCAUCUUCUCUUCUGUGCGUGUGUUUGCGUCUUCGGUGCGACGUGCCAUGAAGACGGCCCAUGCGAACAUCCGUUUGAGCUUGCAUGACAGAGGAGAAGCAGGCAAAAGAUAACCUUUUCAUGCCCAGGCACACACAAAUGUGUGCCCCAAAUAACCCGUUCCCCUCGUCCUACGCGCUCUCGCUUUAUCUUGUGCGACUCAGGUGCUCACUCCUGCUCGCCCUGGUGUGGCUGCUUUCCAUUGCUUUCUGUUUUCGCAUCGUUUAAGCUCGCUUUUUGAAGUACAUGAAGCGGGAGAGUUUCUUCCUCACCUUCCCCCAUGCUCGUCGCCGUCGGGAGAGGAGUGGAGGGAGGUGUGUGUCUGUGUGCGUUGUGAAGAAACACAUGAUGCUGUCGCGGUUUCUGUUUUCUUUUGAAGACGAGGUGUGUAUACAUGUAUAUCUACAUAUGUAUGCGCGCAUGUGCUGUGUAGUUGCCCCUGACGUUAUGGGCGCUUCCUUCGCUCGUUUCCCAGCUUCUCUUCCUGCAGCUCUUUCUGUCGCAUCAUCGCUUUUAUACGCGUCUUGGAGAACGGCACUAUGCACUCAUGCGAAAGCGUGCAUGGCUUCGGGCAGCGGAUGAGGGGAAGUUGAUAGUUAUGUGGAUAGGUGCGUGUGCGUUCCUGCGUACUUGAAGGACUUUAGCACCUGAUAGAUGAAAAAAAAAUAAUAAGGCGAUGCAUACCUACACCAACACGCGAACAAACAACAGUAAAGUGUUUUCGAGUAAAGUGGAUGUCUUCCCUUUUUUUUUUUACAAUCUCUCGUGAAAAUAUUUUACUUUGGUGUCUAUAGGCGUGAAGAUGCGAUUGUGUGUAUGUGAGUGCGGUCGCGUGCAUUUCUGUAUCACCUUAUCUUUUUCUGUGUGUGAUUUUAUUCUUCCUUGUCCAUGUUUUCCGCGCCUUUUUUUCUUGGAACUUCUUUUUUUUUGCGCCCAAAUCUCCUCUUCGUCGUUUCCGUAUCAGUCUCCUCCUCAUGCUCUUUUCAUUGGAACUACUCUCUUCCCGCCUUAUGUGUGUGAUGCUUCGUGCUCAUGUGAGGUCGUGCAUCUUCUUUGCUCUCCCCCUCCUCCUGCUUUCUUUGCCCUUUUUCUUUGGUUUGACCCCUUCUCCUUGGAACUAUUUUCUUUCUUCCCUCCCCCGACCCUCUGUUUCUCUGUUUUCCCUCGCACUCAUGUGCGUGUGCGUUUGUGUGCUCUCUUGUUCAGCUCCUCUAUUCUCCUACAGUCCUUCUCCCCUUUCCCCCUUUUCCCUCUUAUACAGGUCUCUUUACUCUCCCUCAUCUUUCAUCGCAACCAUCUUUUCAUUUCUCUCCGCGGACGCGUGCUGAUGUUGUUUAUCAUGUGCCUUGCCUGUGCGUGUGUGUUUUGUUCUCCCCCUUUUUCUUUGUUGGAACAGUUGAAGGGGCCUUCUCUUUCGCUCUUUUUUUUCAGCUUCUCUGUCGUCGGUGACGUUAACUGUUGUAUAUCUCUUUCCUGUGUGUUUCUCUCUUCUGCCGACAUUAAAACAAACAACAGAAAAAAAAGAUCUUUUUGUGCUUUACCGCAUGUAAACUGCUUCCAAUUUUGCACCUUCAUUCCAUCUUCCUCUCCGAUAUGCCUUCUAUGCAGCUCCUCCGCUCCGCAACCUACGCGGAUGCUUCCUCCUCUUUUUUCUCCGUGACAUAAUUGCCUUGUUGUUUCUAACAAACUCUUUUUCCUUUUUUUUUCAGGUCUCUUCGUCUUUCGCCCCCCCUUCCCUCCCCCUUCAUGGCGCCUUUUUGCAUAUAUGUACAUAUGUGCAUGCGUGUCCUUGCGUGCCGUCCUAAGCAGCUGCCCUUUCUCCUUACUUUGGGUGUGGCAGCGUCUUUCUCCGUCCUCUGACCCUCUUCCUUCUUUUUCUUUGUGUGCUGUUCUCUAUUUUUCUCCUCAUCCUCGAGGUCCCCUGGAACCCUUUUCCCGCGCACCCCCGCCGCCUUCCCCGUUUUUUUUUUUGUGAUCUCAAUAUGAUGUAUAGAUCUAGAGCUCGGUCUUCCGCCCUUUGACUGCUCUUCUUCAACCACAUCCGUAUGUAUUUCUUUCAGUUUUUUUCACUUGUAGCCAUUUCUUUUUUUGUCCUAUCACUAUGUAUGAUCACACUUAGGAGUGCCUGUGUUUUUGUUGUGUGCCUUUGCCACACAUGAGUGCAGCGGGAGGAGGUGGUGGUGGUGGCGACGUUGUGUUAGGCGCUCGUCAAGCACGACAAUGUCCACACCGAGACGGUGUCGAAGUCCUUUUCCAUCCACAAAGAAGAGAGAAAAGAAUGAAAAUCAAAGCAUGUGCUUCUGCAUAAUACGAAAAAAAAAACCACGACCACGAUGGAUCAGCCACACACAGUUUGUCUCCUCCCUCUUUUCUUUUACUCAGCAAAAAAAAAAGGAAGGAGCCAGGGGUAGAAAAGCAAAAAAAAGGAGGGUACAUCACACAUGGUUCGAGGAUAGAGAGUUCACGUGAUGACGGAGGCAAAAACAAAAUGCAAACAACAACGAGACAAUGCGUUCAUGUUUCUUUUUUUUUUGUUGUUGUUGCCUUUUAAAUGCAGAUGUCUGAGAAGUCGCAUUACGUUCUUGUGUCUUGGCUUCGCACUUCUUUCUUUUUUCUUUGGUUUCGCUAUCUUCAUUUCGCGCCAUCUGCAUCAUCUUAUUGGGUCUCUGCUCUCAAAACCUCCUUUGGAGAGCCGGCUCAGUUCUCCUUGCCUUUCCUCCUCCCCACGCCCCACCUCACUGCUUCCUUCUUUCUCUUCUUUUUGUUUCUUCUCUCCCACCUCAUCCUUUUCUUUGUUGAAGGACUUCCCUCUAUUGUUGUGGUUCUUCACUCCCUCUGACUGUUGUCGUGGAUCUAUACAACUGUUUUUGUUACACCUGCCUCCCACUGUCCCUUCCUAAACCCCCCUUUUUUCGGCUGUUGCCGUUGUUCUCCCCUUUUCUCCUUCAUUUUUCUUACCUCUGAGGUCUCCCCCUUCCACACCCUCUUCUCUCUUGGUCCUCUCGUCUCUUUAUUCGCGUGUUGGGCGAAUCGAUGCUUUUCAUCGUCACCGUAUCUUCCUCCCUCUCGGCAAUCGAAUCGAACGUGAAUUUAGCGUUCCAUGUGCGCGUGCGUGCUCAGUCCCUUUCUUUUUUUUCUUUGUCGCUCUCUCUUUCAUGUCCUUGGAAAAGAAGAAAAGAGAAAACGUGCUGCCGUUGGGGUUGUUUAGCACUUGCCGUUUGCGUAGUGCUCUGAGUGCGCGCGCGCGCGGCUGUGCAUUGCUCUUUGGCCUCCCUCGAUGUGGGCUUGUCUUUUUGCGACGGCUCGCGUGCGUGUGCGUGUGUGUGUGUGUGCGUGUGAUCCAGGUACUUUUUUGGAAAGUGCCCUAGUCUCUGUCUGUCUGUCUGUCUGUGUGUGUGUGUGUGUGUGCGUGUGCGCGUCUGUUUGCAUGUUACUCCCUUUGUGCUUUUCCCCGAUUAUUUUCCUCUCUGACUUCUCUGAUCUCACCGCGGCAAAGUGGCUUCGGGCACCCCCUCUUUCGCGUGAUAGCGCAUCGCUCAGCUUCAGUAGUGUGCAGUUAUCCGCGCUCACUUAGUACGCCUCUGUUGUCUUUUUUUUUUCGUGUGUUUGAUCACAUGCCAUGUGGUGCGCACGCUUCGUGCUUCUCUCGACGCUUGUGCUCACAGACACUCGCACACACGCGUCCGCACGCGCCUUCUACGCGAGUUACAGCCAAAGGGGUACGAGAGCACAUACGGCACAGCGCUUUUCUUUUUUGCCCAUGUAGUGCCGGUGGUGUGCUGUGGGUAUGUUUUUUUUUUGGUUGUUGUUCAUCUUGACCGUUCUACUCGUAUGGCUGGCAUUGAUACUGUUCUCACGAGCUCUAUCACUCUCACUCUUUUUCAUCGUUUUCUUCUCUGACAAACAGGAAGCGAAUGCUCGCACACUUUCUCUUGGCUGUACAUAAUGACUGACCUGUUUCCCUUCCUUCUCUCUCACGGGGAGGGGGUGAGGUCUCGAUCUGUGAACUUAUUUUCGUCUUCCCCAUGUUUACCGGUGUUUUUUUCUUCUUCUUCAGCCUCGUGUCUGGGAUGCGUUUUCGUCAUGGGUGGCUGUGCGUACCAGCUGCCUCUCCUGCUCGUUGGCGCGCACACACGCACGUUGAUGUGUAUCGCUGUGCAUGUGAGUGCCUGCGUGAUUGAUUAUUUCAAGCAUUGUGCAUCCUCGAAAGCUUCUCCCAUCCUCUCUCUCUGUCUCUCUCUCUGCAUGGCCUUCCUAGUACGUCGUCUACUUUUUCUUUGUCGCAUUUCCGCGUGCCAACUUGCCUCACCCUCCUCCUCUUUUGCUUGCUCGCUUUUCCCAAGGCCUCUUCUUUCACGUGGCCAAGCGCGGGUGUCGGACAUGGACGAGACCACAAGCAAGGACCCCAGUGAGGGAAGGAGGAUGAAACAGUUUAGGCGGGAGAGAGACGUGUUGGCGAGCGCCGUAUGACGAGGCGGCAGUGGCAGGGCCAAUCUGCGGCACCACACUCGCACACACUAAAAGCAUACGCGCACACUCUCCACAACCACAUUGCCCCUGCUUCGUUUGCUCGUUUUCUCUCCCGUGUUCAUGUGCCCCCUGUGUCUUUCCCAGCUCACUGGUGUUCUUAGGGAAAGGGGCGAAAAGAAACGACCCCCAAAACAAAAUAAUUUCACUUGGCUUUGCUGUGCUAGUCUUGCGCCGUGAGCGGGCGAGCGGUGGGUGUACAACGUCCAGACUUCUUUGGCCACCGAGAAGCAUGCGCAUGCACUUAGAGUGACACGCACACCCACCCACACAAACUACUAGAAUCACCUAUCCUCUCCGCUCUUACCUCCCUACUGUAUGGGCACACUCGCGUGGUGUCUAAACACGCACCUACGGCCAUCAAGGGGCCGCAUACGAGCACUUGUGGAGUUUCCUUCCCUUUUAUCAUCCCUUUUCGACGCUUGUGCGCGGCGUGUGAUGGCUUGCGCAGCCCGUGCCCCUGCCCACGUUUGCUUACUUCUCAUACUUCACCGCCUCCUUCCACAGGAGCUCCGUCCGAUGUUGCGGCAUGAAUAGAGACCAUCAAUUACACCGCUUGUGUCUGUAGUCGUGCUUCUUUCACCAUUUUUCUUGUUUCCCUUCUUUGCCAGGCCGCGAUUGCGGCAUCUGCCUACUCCUUUCCCUCGCCUGCAGUCUGGGUGUGUGGGCAUGUUCAUGCGUGCGGAGUCGUACUCAUAAACACGCUCACACAGACGCCAGCCCACAUACAAAGGCUUUCCCCUUUUGUAAAUUCUGUCUCACUUUCUCCCCAACGUGAUUCUUUGCUUUUUUUUCUUUCCCCCAGUUAUUAGGUUAUGCGACUGUUUUUUUUUUUUGUUUUGUUUUGUUUACGUGUAUGGGGUACUUGUACCGAUAAGGAGCUAAGAAACGAAUGCUAACAAGAGGUAUCCGCUACAUGACAACACAGACAGGCAUACGCACCCACACGCAGACACGCAGCUCUUUGCUUCACAGUCCCACCAACGCUCAUGGUUUCUUGCCUUCUUUCGGUGGGCUCUCUUCACCGUUUCUUUCUGCCUUCAAAGCGGCGAUGUCGCUCCCCGUCGUUACACAGACGCACACAUACACUUGGAUGGCUUUCAAGAGUGCAGCACAGAAAGCAUGCAGUCACUAGGGGGGGGGCUCGCAUCGUAUCUUAGGCAUGGUGGACUUUUUCCUGGUGCGUGCGCACUUCUGGGUCAUCCUCUCUCUCUCUGCUCUGCUCUGCAAAAUAGCCAACAGUACAUGUUGCGUUUUCUUCCUUUUUCUUGUGUGAGUGCGCAUGUAGUUUUUUUUUUGUCUGACGUGCAUGUGUGUGUGUGUGUGUGCUCGGGUGAAUAACGGUGCGUCCCAUUUUUUCCCCUUUUCGAUUGCGGGAUCGACCUCUGCUUUCCCAUCAUCUAUCGUUUCCGCGUUCAUGCAUUUCAUACGACUUGAGACGGCAGGGAAAACAUGCUUUUUUUUCUUUUUGUUAUUGCUGUUUUGACGGUGUUUGUCUGCGUGUGUGGGCCCUCUCUCCUUGUGUAUGCCUUUUUUGUAGAUGUGCUUACAUAUGCUAUUUUACGGUGUCGCCAGCGAAACACUUACCCCCUCACCCAGCGCACACGUCAUGCUUUCGUCGUCUUUUGCUGCGCACGCAGGAAAGCACACGCGCCUGUGAGCCUAGAAUUGCUGUUUGGCGCCAUGUUGAACUUCAAGUAGGUUUUUUUUUUAUCCCUCUCUUCCGGAUUUGUUCGGCUUCCUUUCUUUCGUUUCACAUCUUGAGCCUUCCUGCCCUAGCCUCCUCAUGAUAUACUCCCAUCUUUUCUCGGUACCUCCUUCCGUUCCCGCCUUUUCUUUAGCGCGCGUCUCUCUGCCGCUCUCUCAGCAUCUUUUUUUUUCGUCGUCGUUUGUCUUCGCCUGGGCUUACUUGGACGUUCUCCGUACCCUCUCCUCCUCCCCUUCCUCUCUCGUCUCUCUUUCUCUCUCUACAUGUUCAACUUUUUUCAUCAUUUAUGUGUGUGUGUGUGUGCUGAUUCUUCUUUUUGCUCCUUUUCCUCUUUCGCCGCCGAAAGCCCAAUCUCCCCCGUGCUUUUCCCUGUUCUCGUCUUUUCCGGGCUAUCUGUUUCCUUCGUUACCCCCAACACUCCCAGCAUGAUUUCCGCUGUAUGUGUGAUGGAGACUGCGCCUCCUUUUUUUUUUUGAGUGUCAGCGCUUGGCUUUUGUUUUGUGUUCCGAUUCUAUUUUCUGUGCGUGAAACCUUUUUUAUCCGUGUGUGUUUCCUCUGUUUUUUGUUUUUUUUUUUUGAGUGUAUGCUGAUGAGCAUCACUCUCUCGUGUUUUGUCUUUGCCCCAUCUCCCUUUUUCUAUUGUUGUUCGGUUCAUGUGGCGCUAACGGCUUACAGGCUAACGUUUUUUUUUUUAGUUGUAUUUUAGUUUUUAGUUUUUUUUUUUUUUGGAAUCCCUUGUGCCUUCUUUUGCUUGAUGAACGCCUUUCUCCAGUUUUUUUUUUGUAUGCUUACGUCCUCACACCCCUGUGCCCCAUAUCUGUUUGACAUGUUCGUUUUUCGCCCUCUUUUUUUGUCUGUGGUUUGUGGUGUCGCGCGGGCGUUUGCACUGUGCUCCUUUUUCUUUCGUUUAUGAUUUCUGCCUCUCGUGGGCCUUUCUUUCCGUCUCUGCACCGUUUCACUAUGACUGUUGCUAUUCUUGUGAAGUUUCCCGCUGCGUGCAUGAGCAAUCACCUACCUCUUUCCAUGAUCGUCCCUACUUAUUUUAUUUUUAUCUUGUUGCAACUCGACACACACGCGCACACUCAGGCACACAGAUAUAUGCAGAAGGGCUUUUUCCCCUUCAUCUGCUCGCUCCCUUUCUCUCUUUCCCGCGCCUCCCACUCAUUUCACCGCCCGUUCUCGUUUACUUUGUGUUUCUUCACGUUCACCAGCACCACCUCGCCCCAGCCCCCCCUUUUUUUUGCUUCCUACGCUUGCUGUUCGUUGCUCGUGUCUGUUCACUUCCUUUCAUUGUGUGGUGCCUGUGCUCGUGCGGAGCAGGCCUUACAGGGGACGUGUAAUUCAGGAGAUGCGUGUGGUGAGGAAGUCAAAAGAGCGAAGUGCGGGUGCUACUCUACGCCGGUGGGAAGCGAGAGCGCACUAAAAGGACAAGCAGCGCAGAGGUGAAGGGCGAAUUUAAGUGAAGAGGGGCUGGAAAAAGAAUGCGCGGGAGAAAGCUUUCUGUUUGGAUGACGCACAUGUUUACCCCCACACGGGCCGGUGUCUUCGCUGCCACGCACCCCACUCGCUUCGCACCGAUCUGGAACGCUGUGGCGCCUUCCUUUUGUUUUUCUCCGUGGAUUUUCCCUUGUGACGCCUUGUCUUUUUUCUUUUUUACUUUCUCUCGCUCUUCAUGUCUUUACGGGAGGCUGUAUGCACCCUUUCUGUGCCCUCAGCGAAGCCCCUCUCCCUGAGCUUCUUUCUUUUCCCUGUCGUGCUUGCAUUACUGCGCACUGUUGUUUUGCUUCGUUUUUUUUUCUGCAUUUCGUUUUGGUUCUGCUUUUUUUUUUCUCGUGCGUGUGUGUGUGUUUUUGCUCUUCUCGUUUCCAUUCGUUGUCAACCAUUACCAAUAAAGCAGCCACUCCCAAGCUCUCUCUAUAUCACUUGUUUCUUGUCCUCGCUCCUUCUCUGGCCUUGUGACGGCCUAUCUCUUUGGUUCCUUCCUUCCCCUCUUUCGAUUGCCUUGAUGACGGCAGACACACACCUCGGUGCGUGGUAUACAGGGUCCCGCACCCACUCUCUGAGGACGCCAAGCAGCACCCCCUAUCCCUGCCGCAUGCAUAGCGACGUUCUGGUGGGGACAGGGUUAGUUACCCACACGACAUGGGAAAGCCAGAGCGACCGAUCGCUGCGAGUGUAGGCGACCAGAACAAAUAAAAACAGAGGAUAAUGAACAUGCAACAUAAUCCAUAAGCGCUUUAUGGCGCUCCCAGAGAUAAACGCAGAGGCGACGCAAGGGGUGCCACACAUACGCACAUACGUUACCCCCUUCCGCCCUCCAAUCCCGGCACCCCCGCACUUCACCUGCAGAUUUGCAGGGUCGUACGGAUGGUAAGUGCGGAGAUGGGGGUGGGAUGUAUGGAAAGGGGAGGAGGUGAUCACAAGGCGUUGUCGAUCAACUGAGCAGCUCUGCCUCUCCUUUCCACACAUCCUUUUUUCUUUUCCUCGUUUUGCAGUGGGG
rnacentral:misc_RNA from 1 species